GCAAACUUGGUCAUUUAGAGGAAGUAAAAGUCGUAACAAGGUUUCCGUAGGUGAACCUGCGGAAGGAUCAUUACCGAGUGGAUGGCUCCUUACCGGGGCUGUGUCCCUCCUUCCUUGUCUUCUGCCAACCACGUUGCUUUGGCGGACCGGCCAUAUCGUGGCCCCCUGGGGCUUCCCGGGUCCGUGUCCGCCAGAGGUCUUUUUUUAACGCAAGCUAUAUGGAACGGGUCUGAAUGCGAGCUUUAUAAACAUUGAAAAAACUUUCAACAAUGGAUCUCUUGGUUCCGGCAUCGAUGAAGAACGCAGC
rnacentral:misc_RNA from 1 species